rnacentral:rRNA from 1 species
UACAUAGGGUGCAAGCGUUAUCCGGAAUCAUUGGGCGUAAAGCGUCUGUAGGUGGUCUAUUAAGUCUGAAUUUAAAGCCUGGGGCUCAACCCCAGCCCGGUUCGGAUACUGAUAGACUAGAGUUAUAGAGAGGUAAGUAGAACUCCAUGUGAAGCGGUGGAAUGCGUAGAUAUAUGGAAGAAUACCAAUUGCGAAGGCAACUUACUGGAUAUACACUGACACUGAGAGACGAAAGCGUGGGUAGCAAACAGG